GUAGGGUGCAAGCGUUGUCCGGAAUUAUUGGGCGUAAAGAGCUCGUAGGCGGUCUGUCGCGUCUGCUGUGAAAACUCAGGGCUUAACCCUGAGCUUGCAGUGGGUACGGGCAGACUAGAGUGCGGUAGGGGAGACUGGAAUUCCUGGUGUAGCGGUGAAAUGCGCAGAUAUCAGGAGGAACACCGGUGGCGAAGGCGGGUCUCUGGGCCGUAACUGACGCUGAGGAGCGAAAGCAUGGGGAGCGAACAGGAUUAGAUACCCUGGUAGUCCAUGCCGUAAACGUUGGGCGCUAGGUGUGGGGACCUUUCCAUGGUUUCCGUGCCGCAGCUAACGCAUUAAGCGCCCCGCCUGGGGAGUACGGCCGCAAGGCUA
rnacentral:rRNA from 1 species